rnacentral:rRNA from 1 species
UACAGAGGGUGCAAACGUUGUCCGGAAUUACUGGGCGUAAAGCGCUUGUAGGCUGCUCAGUCAGUCGGAUGUGAAAGCCCUGGGCUCAACCUAGGAAGUGCAUUCGAAACUUCUGAGCUGGAGUUCUGGAGGGGAAGGCGGAAUUCUCGGUGUAGAGGUGAAAUUCGUAGAUAUCGAGAGGAACACCGGUGGCGAAGGCGGCCUUCUGGACAGUGACUGACGCUGAGACGCGAAAGCGUGGGGAGCAAACCGG